rnacentral:lncRNA from 1 species
GGCAGAGAGAGGAAUAUAAGGCAGAAGGAGACAGGAGCUCAGUCUUUUUUCAGUCUGAGGAUCUUUGUAGAGAUUCUGUCUUUUAGCUGAGCAUCAUAGCUCAUGACUGUAAUCACAGCACUCAGAAGGCUGAGGAAGGAAGAGUUAUGUGACCUCAAG